rnacentral:rRNA from 1 species
UACAGAGGUCUCAAGCGUUGUUCGGAUUCAUUGGGCGUAAAGGGUGCGUAGGCGGCGCGGUAAGUCGGGUGUGAAAUCUCGGAGCUUAACUCCGAAACUGCAUUCGAUACUGCCGUGCUUGAGGACUGGAGAGGAGACUGGAAUUUACGGUGUAGCGGUGAAAUGCGUAGAUAUCGUAAGGAAGACCAGUGGCGAAGGCGGGUCUCUGGACAGUUCCUUGACGCUGAGGCACGAAGGUCAGGGGAGCAAACGGG